UGCCUCCACCCAUCCUCUUGAUCUCAUCAAGGUUCGCAUGCAACUUCAAGGUGAAUCCCACCUCCCCAAUCCAGCUUCCCUUCAAGCCCUCCGUCCUGCAAUCGCCUUCAACACGGUUGCUGCAGGUGCCGGCAAUAUUUCACUACCUGUAGAAAUUGCUCCUCCACCUGCUCGUGUUGGACCCAUUUCUAUUGGUGUUCGUAUCAUUCAAUCUGAAGGUGCUGCAGCCCUUUUCACUGGUGUAUCUGCCACUAUACUUCGCCAGACCUUGUACUCAACCACCCGUAUGGGUCUUUACGAUGUUCUCAAACACAAGUGGACAGAUCAAGACACCGGAAGCAUGCCUCUUCCACGCAAGAUUCUUGCCGGCCUUAUCUCCGGCGGUAUCGGAGCCGCCGUUGGGAACCCCGCUGACGUGGCUAUGGUCCGAAUGCAGGCUGAUGGACGUCUCCCAAUUGACCAACGUCGCAACUACAAGAGUGUGUUUGAUGCUCUAACUCAAAUGUCAAAGCAAGAAGGAAUUGCUAGCCUCUGGCGUGGCUCAAGUCUUACAGUGAACCGUGCAAUGAUCGUCACUGCAUCACAGCUCGCAACCUAUGAUCAGAUCAAGGAGAUGAUAUUGGAGAAGGGUGUGAUGAGUGAUGGAAUAGGGACCCAUGUGACGGCGAGCUUCGCAGCUGGGUUUGUGGCAUCGGUGGCUUCAAACCCUAUAGAUGUGAUAAAGACUAGGGUUAUGAACAUGAAGGUGGAGACAGGGGGGGAGCCGCCAUACAAGGGUGCAUUAGACUGUGCAAUGAAGACAGUGAAGGCGGAGGGUCCAAUGGCUUUGUAUAAGGGAUUUAUCCCUACAAUCUCAAGGCAAGGACCUUUCACUGUGGUGCUGUUUGUCACGCUAGAGCAGGUCAGGAAGCUGCUCAAAGAUUUCUAAUUCAAGUGAUGGUGAUCGAUGAGGGAAAUCAAAAUGCCAUAUAUAGAUAGAAAUAUGUGAAUUUUUCAGCUUCACUAUCGGGAGAAUUAUUCUUUAAUUCUUUUUGUUAGAAUUUGGAAAGGCCACUAUUAUUCCAUUACUGUAAAGAAGAAUUGAAUUUUUGAUAUAAAUUAAUUAUUACUUGAUCUCACAUUUCCAUUUGUCUAUCUUCAUAUAUAAUUGCAGAAUUCACCGCAAAUGUAAAAAAAUUCAAUUAAUCAAGGUGUUGUUCUCCUAAUGGCAUGGCUCACAGUCACAAAAUUAAAAAGAGAUUAAACCCAUCAAAAUACAUAAUCACAUCAAUAUAGAAUGCUUGUAUGAAUAUUGCUGGAGUUUUGACCUUCUUGAGUUUUGACAUCCUGCAGCUGCAUUAUAAGAGUAACAAUCACUUUUAUUUUUUUUGACAAUAACCUUACCAUAAAUUACAAGUAAAUAUUUUAUACUUCGUCCUUUUCUUUGAUACUGGUUUUUCUACGGCCACCCUUGUCUUUUCAAGAAGGGUUGACUUCUGUCACCUUGUUAUAUGUUUUUAAAUUUUUUUUAUUAUUAUUGUUUUACAUGUUGUGCUUCUUCAGUUUUUUCAUGCCUUAUUGUUGACAGAUUUAAGAGAGGAUUAACUUUUUGGGAAUGGUGAAACUCUUGGAGUCGUAUUCCGAACAUGAAUAAUGCAAUCAGUAACCCUCAAGGCCUUGGGUGCCAUAGAACUCUGGCUACUGCCCUUAGUUGGUUUGAAGCUUCGAUGCUUCUGGCCUUCAAUCAGUCUGUGCUUUAGUUUUAUUGGUUCUGGCUGUUGCCCUCAGUUGAUUUGAAGCUUCGACUUUGGUCUGGCCUUCAAUCAAUCUUUGCUUCAGUUUUAUUAGUUUUCUUGAUAAGACGCUCCAUGGCUCUUUCUACAAGUUGCAUUUGUUGUCGGGUCUCUCAACUUUUUAAGUUUUAAGGAUUUGAUGACCUUUUAGGUUUUAAGAAACCUUAUUUUAUUUUCUAUUAAAAACUACGGUUUUAAAUGAGUUGGAUUAAAAUUUUAAUUUUAAUUUUUUUCUUUAUAUUAUUAUAAAUGAUUAAAACGUAAAUACGAAUAUAAUUCAAUCAUUUGUAGUUAGAGAUUAGAAAAAAAUCUCCUCAGAUUCAAUAUGAAAACAUUUAGAGUACAUGUAUUACGCUCAAUUCAUAGAGAUUUAGAAAGCUGCUCUUAGAAUUUCAAGCUUUUACUUGAGCAGUAUAAAUUGAUAGUUUUUUAGGGACCAUUUUAAAAUUUCUAUCCAUAAAUUUUCUUUAAAAACAAAGUGACGUGCAAAGCGCACUAAUAUAUUUUAAAAUUUAAGCAAUGAUAUCUUUACGGUCAUAGUAAAAUUAUUAUUUUAAUAUUAUUAAGAUAACAGUUUGAUAAUAAUUUAAAAAUAUUUAAAAAAUUUAUUUUUUUAUUAUAUUUAAUAAUAAAUUUUAAUAAAAAAUUAUUUUAUAUUUAAUAAAAUCAUAAUUUUUACUAUAUUUUAUAUUUACAGUAAAAAAAUAUGUUUAAAGCUGAUUUAUAUUUAAUAGUGAUAUAUUUCAAAUUGUUGUUAUUAAUUUAUAAUUAUAUUUAAAAUAUACAAUAUUACUAUUUUAAAUUUAUUUUUAUAGUAGUGGUUUUUUUGCAUACUCCACCUUCCUCUACUAUUUAUAAAAAUUUAUAAAAAAUAAUAUAUAUUUAAAAAAAUAGAGUAAAAAAUUAAUGAAUCACUGUACAUGAUACAUUUAUAGAAAAUAUUUCUCUAAAACUGUUUCAUGUAGACUGAAUAUAAUAAUUACAGUGGAAUUUUUCCGAUAUUAUAAAGUUUUGAUUUCAAAAUCUGUCACAUCAAGUCAACGGUUUAAUUAUUAGUAACGUUGAUAAAAAAAAAAGUAUUAAUAACUGAAUUUUUUUAGAAGUUAUUAAUAACUGAAAAAUACUUAAUCUCAUAAUAUAACAUAUGAUUAAUCACAACUGCCCAUACGAUCAUCAAGGUAAAGGAGGGCAGACGAAAAAUAAAAAAUUAAAAAAGAAGAAUGGGUCAGUCAGUGGAACCCACUAACAUGUGAGUGAGCCAUAUGGUUGUUACACAGUUGGCCAGUUCAACAGUUCAAACUAGGAAGACCAAGAAUGGUCACAGACAACAGCACCAAUAGCGCAGAUAUAUAGAGUCAAAUGCAAUACCGUGUAUAAUUGAUCAGUCGAAUAGCACAAAGAAUUUUCUUCGAAUUUUCUCCAUAUAGAUAACGUGUGGACCAUCCUACACUCCCUCUCGGCCUCUCUAUAUAAACGCCUAAUUCUCUGCUCACUCUUCAUCUUCAUCACCAUUUCUAUUGUCUGCCUCUUCACUUCACUCAGCUUCUCUCUCGCUGAUCAGUUUUGAUUUCUUCAGUUUUCGAUCCAUAAUUAAUAAUGGGUUUGAAGGGUUUUGUUGAAGGUGGUAUUGCCUCCAUCGUCGCUGGUGCCUCCACCCAUCCUCUUGAUCUCAUCAAGGUUCGCAUGCAACUUCAAGGUGAAUCCCACCUCCCCAAUCCAGCCUCCCUUCAAGCCCUCCGUCCUGCCAUCGCCUUCAACACGGUUGCUGCUGGUGCCGGCAAUAUUUCACUACCUGUAGAAAUUGCUCCUCCACCUGCUCGUGUUGGACCCAUUUCUAUCGGUGUUCGUAUCAUUCAAUCUGAAGGUGCUGCAGCCCUUUUCUCUGGUGUAUCUGCCACUAUACUUCGCCAGACCUUGUACUCAACCACCCGUAUGGGUCUUUACGAUGUUCUUAAACACAAGUGGACAGAUCAAGACACCGGAACCAUGCCUCUUCCACGCAAGAUUCUUGCCGGCCUUAUCUCCGGCGGUAUCGGAGCCGACGUUGGGAACCCCGCUGACGUGGCUAUGGUCCGAAUGCAGGCUGAUGGACGUCUCCCAAUUGACCAACGUCGCAACUACAAGAGUGUGUUUGAUGCUCUGACUCAAAUGUCAAAGCAAGAAGGAAUUGCUAGCCUCUGGCGUGGCUCAAGUCUAACAGUGAACCGUGCGAUGAUCGUCACUGCAUCACAGCUCGCAUCCUAUGAUCAGAUCAAGGAGAUGAUAUUGGAGAAGGGUGUGAUGAGUGAUGGAAUAGGGACCCAUGUGACGGCGAGCUUCGCAGCUGGGUUUGUGGCAUCGGUGGCUUCAAACCCUAUAGAUGUGAUAAAGACUAGGGUUAUGAACAUGAAGGUGGAGACAGGGGCGGAGCCGCCAUACAAGGGUGCAUUAGACUGUGCAAUGAAGACAGUGAGGGCGGAGGGUCCAAUGGCUUUGUAUAAGGGAUUUAUCCCUACAAUCUCAAGGCAAGGACCUUUCACUGUGGUGCUGUUUGUCACGCUAGAGCAGGUCAGGAAACUGCUCAAAGAUUUCUAACUCAUGUGAUGAUGAUCGAUGAGGAAAAUCAAACGCCAUUACAUAUAGCUAGAAAGCUGUGAAUUUUUCAGCUUCAUUGCUGAGAAUUAUUCUUUAAUUUUUUUAAUGGGACUCUUUGUAUCUGUCAAAUUGCAGUUAAAUUGGCAAUUCCACAGUUUUAGGAAGAUAGAUUCCUGCAUUUAACAUUUUAUUUAUAAAAAAAAAAUUAAAAAUAAUUUUUUUAAAGUAUAUAAAAAAUAAUUAAUAAUUAUAAAAAAAUUAUAUAAAAUGACAGCUAGACAUUUUUUAAAAUAAUUAAUAAUUAAAAUUAUUUUAUUUUUUUAAAAUUAAAUGUAUAUAAAAACAAAAAAUAUAUAUAUUUUAAAGAAAAAUUUUUUAAUAUUUAAAAUAUUCAUUGACUAAUUUUCUAAAUGCCUCAAAUAUUAAAAAAAUAUGAAAAAUAUUUUUAGUUAAAAUAUAAAAAAUAUUUAACUAAAAAUAUUUUGUAUAAAAAAGUAGAGUCUAAAAUAUAUAAUUUUUUUAUAUUUUUUAACAUAUCUACCUUUUAAAAUUUUCAUAAAUAUGAUAUUUUAAAAUCUCAACGUGGUUUUACUAUCAUUAAAAUUUUAAAUUUUUUUAACUCACAAUUUAAUAAAAUAAUUAAUAAAAAUUUCAAAAAUAUAUAAUUUCAUUAAAAUAAUUUUAUGUAAUUUUUUUAAAUAAUUAUUUGUUUAAACAUUUUUUAUUUAAAAAUAAAAAAAAUUUUAAAAUAAUAAAUUAUUAUUUUUAACAAUAAUUUUAAUUAGUAAUUAUUUUUUUUAUAUACUUUAAAAAAAUUAUUUUUAAUUUUUUUUUAAAAAUAUUUUUUUAUAAAAUUGACAUAUUCAAUAAUUAAAGCGUUAAACAUACCGAUUUCCACCGCUAGAUUAUCAAACUGUGCAGUUCCACAGCAUGAGUGAUGAAUAAAAAUUCAAAAUGCCUUGGAAGAUCAAACGUGAAUUUCAAUUUCUUUUUUUUUUCUUGUGCGUGUUUUGAAAAAAAAAUAGCUCUACCAAAGCAGUAAACUCAGCAAGCACAAAGGUACACAGGCCAAGUCGAAUCAUGAAUCCAGCUGCCCAACGACCGCGGCUAUUCCGGAGUAGCCCACCUCCUCCUCCACGACCUGGAUUCCCCUGCAAGCUGCGACGCUCCAUCUGUGUUGAGUUUUAACCACCUAUCUCGCGGUGGAACCCAUGAAACAGCCACCAAAGUUCGUUGUUUUUGCACCUUAUUCAUUCCUUUCCAGACCUUAUAAUUCAUGCAGUAUUCCCUACGUAAAAUGGCUAUCUUUGAAGUUAACGUUAAUAUUUCUCCCUCAAACACAUAAUUAUUUCUCCACUGCCACAAAAACCAUAACGUAAUACAAAGACACUGUACAGCCUGAUACUCACUCCUUUCUCUACAUAUCAGUUCUUCACAAUGUAACCAGUCCUGAAUUCCCAUGUUAUAAAAUUUGGUUAAAGAGUUGGCCUCCCAUACAUUUCCUAGACUUGUCGAGCAGCCCAACAAUAAAGAUAUGUAGGUAACUUUCAUAUAUUUUUUACUUAUAAUUUAAAUUAAUUUUAUAUUUUUAGUAAAUUUAGUAAAUAAAAAUAAAUAUUUAAUAUUUAAUUAUUUUAUUCAUAAAAAUUAAAAAAUUUAAUUUCAUUGACUCAUUGAAGAUGUGAUAUAGUGAUUCUAUCAUAUGAAAGGUAAAUACGUAGAAAAAUUAUAAAUUUUUGUUUAUAAAUAUAUCAUAUUUUUUGUGCUUAAUUUUAAUUUAUUAUAAUUUUAAAAAGUAAAAAGAUAAAUAUUGAAUUUAAAUGUUUAUUUUAUUUAUUAUCAGCAAAUGAGACUUUCUGUAUAUAUUAAUAUUUACUGGGACGGAAAUAUUAUAAGUACGUUUUCAUGGAUAUGAUUAUGGUGGAAGUUUUUCAAAUGUUGUUCUAAUAAGUAAAAGGAUAAGUUUUAAUCAAACAGUAAAAAAAAUUGCAUAUACUAAUAUUUACUGGAACGAAAAUAUUAUAAGUAAUUCUGAUGGAUAUGAUUAUGAUGGAGGUUUUUCAAAGGUUGUUCCAAUAAGUAAAAGGAUAAAUUUUAAUUAAGCAAUCGAAAAAAUUGCAUAUACUAAUAUUUAUUGGGACGAAAAUAUUAUAAGUAGUUUUCAUGGAUAUGAUUAUGAUGGAGGGUUUUCAAAGGUUUUCCAAUAAGUGAAAGGAUAAGUUUUAAUCAAGCAGUCGAAAAAAUUGCUUGUGCAGUUGAAUUAGUCGAGAAUAAUGAAUAUAUAGAGAUAAUUAAUUUUAAAAAACCUAUAAUUUUGGAUGGAUCAUUAAAAUUUAAGUAUAUGGACACUACAAGAAUUUUAAAAAUUACCAACAGAAAUUUCCAUUGGUAAACAUUGAUAUUCCGUUAGUGAAAAAUUUCACUAACGGAUCUGUGACGGAUUCAUUCCGUUGGGAAAAUUCUCGUUGGUAAAUUAUUCACUAACGGAAUUUGUAUCCGUUAGUGACACUAACGAAUCACCAACGGAAAUGUCCGUUGGUGACACUAACGGAAUGCAAUUCCGUUGGUAAUACUAACGGAUUUUGCAUUAGUAAUCCGUUAGUGAAUAAAAAAUGGCGUUGUUUUCCUUUGCAAUGGACAUGGAUCUGUUAGUGACACCAACGGAAAUUCUAUUGGUAAUCCGUUGGUAAAUCAUAAAAUUGCAAAAUCAUCCAUAUAUUUUCAUACAUUAUGUACUUGUACCCUGUACAUUCAUAUACAUCCAUCAUCAUCCAUCAUCAUCCUGGACAUUAAUAAUACUAUAAACGUAAAAAAUCAAAUUACUCAUUAAAAUAUAUUUAAAACUUAAAAAAUUUGUACUACAAUUAUAAUUUGAAAUAAAAAUUAUCAACUGGUCAUAACAAAAGAUACAUACUAAACUAAACUAGCAAACUCAUCAUCUGUAUCAUCAUCAUCACUAUCUGUAUGAUGAUCACCAAUGACAGGGGCAUCAUCAUGCCGCUGCUGUGGAGACGGAGCUGGAGGUGCCCUAGGAGCAGAUGUCUGAGUGGAUGUCCCAAUACUCUGUUGUGCCAUCAUCCUAUGCAUAAACGUCUGCAACUCGUCCAACACUGUGCUAAUUCAACCAUUCUCUGUCUCUAGCCGAUCAAUUUUAUUCUGCAUCUUGUUCAUUGCUUCAAUUGUAGGAGGAUCCACUGGGGGUGCAGACGUGUAUGAAGCGGAACAAUGAGAUGGCUCAUGAAAAUAUGCUAAAGCCUAGGACCCUAAUCUAUAAACUCGACUCUUUUUCUGCCCGCCAACCGCUUCGUAGUACAGUUGGACCUCAUUUAUGGUCGUCGGCUCAUUGCUUCUCUCCUGUUGCUGUGUUGCUACCUCUUUCAGUUGUACGUAUUUAUCCUGCAUUAUAAAUUUCAAGUAACGUAUUAGUAAAACGAUUUAAGUACAUCAAAAUUGUUAAUAACUACAUUUAAUAUUAACUUACAUAAAUAGCUUUUGACCUAGCAUCAACAAACUCUUCUGUCCCUUUUCUCUUAUGUGUGACCUCGAAAACCUCAUGAGGAUGUGGUUCUCUGCCUAGUCUUUCUCUCUGUUACCAAUUAUAAGAAGUAUAGCAAUUAUCAUCGAAAAAAAAUAUUUAUAAGAAGAUAAAUAUAAAAUAAAAAUAUUUACUAAUACCAUCCUCUGCUAAUGGGUAUACUGUGAAACUGAUCCGCAUGCAUGCCUGGAAAUGCCAGAUCCUGACCCUCCAGCCUCAAUGCGCCUAUUGGUAGAAAACUUGUCACACUUCUCUUUGUAUUCAGAAGUGUUCCAAGUUUUCUGCCACUUCCUCAAAAUAGAAUCUGGUGUAGCCAGAUUCUUCGCCUUCCCUUUCCUGAUUUCCCACAUUAAGCCCCUAUAUCUCUCAGCUGCCUUUUUCUGCCAUGCAAUUUUGACCAAGCUUUCAAUUGCUUGGUCCCAUAUGAAGCAUUUCUGCAAAAAGAUUAAAGUAUAUGAUUAGUUAGUAAUUACACAUUUCAUAUUAUAAAUCAAAAUGCUAAAAGAAUUACGCUUCACCUUGAAUUCCUGCCAAUAAAACUCCUUAGUGUCAUUUGGCACUGUCUUCCAACAGUGUCCUUCCGCGAUCAAUCUUUAUUUUAUUAUCAGAGUAAUCCUGCGACUGCACAUCUCCGACGGAUGUAAACUACAUGAACAACGGUGAGUUAGUAUAGGGUAACAUUGAAAUUAAUCAUAAUUAAAAAAUAAUUAACUAUUACUUGUUAUUAAUGAGUGAAAUGGUCUGUCGGAAUGAAUGUGUGCCGCCUACAGCAGUGGUCGAUCCUGCAGAUGCUGGAGCAGAUGAUAGAGUAGAUGCUGAUGCAGAUCCUGACCAUCUAGCUGAUGCAGUAGCAGAAGGAGAUGCAGGUUGAGGUGAAUGUGAAUGUGAUAUCGCAGGUCGUGGAGCUGGAGUGGGAUGGUGAGGAGCUAGAGUGUGACGGUGAGGAGGUGGAAGGGGACGGGGAGGCAAUGCAUCGGUACAUGGUGGAACUGGUGGACCUAAUAGAUCCCUAUGACAUGGUUGUACACUGGAUGCAAGUGGUACCCAUAUUUGAAGCUCCGUAUCCCCAAGUCCCGUUGAUGCCGUGGUAACUACGGCUAAUGCUCUUGUCCGCCAUCUGCAGUCGCCUCCUCUUGACUUGUACUAGCAGGAAGUCGAACCGGUCCUCUGGGCUUCUUAACCCUUCCACAUCCCCUCAUCUGUGAACAAAUAAAAAAUAGUCAAUGCAAAAAAUAAUAUAAAGUUCAUAAACAUUAAAUUAAAAACGUACAAACAUAGUAAGUUACUCACUGAGAAAUAAUGAAAAUAUACAACUCCAAACUGAUUUAUAAUAUAAAUUAAUUUAGUCCGAUUCAUACGAAUCGAACUCAUUAUCACCAUCUGCAUCUACAUCAGAAUUAGGGUCACUAAGAAACUCAUCUUCAUCUGUCGAAACAUCAUCAUGAAUCUCAGUCAUUCCUCCACUAGGAUCAUUCAGGUAGUGUUGUUGAGUAAUAUCAUCCAGAUUUACUUCAGCGUAAUCAAUCUCAUCUUCUUGAAAAGGUUUAUAUGUCUUUGAAGACGUUUCAGAUACUUCAACAACGGGUCUACCUUUAACUUUCAUCACAGCCCACCAAUCAUUUUUGUCACGACGCUUGCUCGGGUAUGAAGCAUAAACGACCUGUGUUGCCUGAGAGGCUAAUACAAAUGGCUCGUACUUACUGUAUCUACGCUUAUUGUUAACAUCGACUAUUCUAUAAUGUCUAUGCACCUUGGUGCCCGUAUUUAGUAUUGGAUCAAACCAAUCAUAUUUGAAAAGUACAGUCCGCUUAAUUGAUAACACUGGAUACUCCAACCGUAACACCUCAACCAACUGUCCAUAGUAGUCACUUUCUUUAAAACUGUAAUUACUCCCUUUUAUACAUACACCAAAAUUCAUUGACUUACUACUUAAAUUUCCAUUGAUUGUGUUGAAUUUAUAUCCAUUAACACAAUACCCAUCAAAAGUUGUGACACUUCUGAGUGGUCCCUUUGAAAGAUCUUGUAUAAGCUGAUUUUUUACAUUGUUCUGCAAUUCAUGGGCAUACUUGUAAAACCAUUGGCCAAACUCUCUCUCCAGUUUUUCAUCAACAGUUGCAUCUGUGAUAUUUGGUUGUGCCGAUUUUACUUGCUCUACAUAAAUGCUAUACAUACAAAUUAACAAGUAAUGUUUAACAAUAAUGUACAAUAUAAGAGAUAUUACACUAUUAAUAUAACUAACAAUACUUACUCAAUAUAUGUUUUCACCUCUGGACAAUUUAAAAGAAUAUAUGUUUGAGCAGAUUGGCUUUCAUUUUCAGUCAUAUAUCUCGAUUUUCCCUUUCAGAUUGUGCUACCUGUGCAUUUGAAUAUGCUUAAUUUGCUCGGUACAUCAUCAUCGGAAACAAAUUCAUGCAAGUUGCGUGGAACCUUCGAUGUCUGGUCAUUACAUGUGCUUCAAAAUAAUGAGCAGAAAAUGCACCUGCUUCUUCUACCAAGUAAGCAUUGCAUAUUGAACCUUCGACCCUUGCUUUAUUUUUGACAUUGUUCUUUAACUUUCUCAUGUAUCUAGUGUGUGAAAACAGAAAUUAGAAAUGUAUACUAAGUAAAUCAUAAUGCUGAGCAAUAUACGUAAAGAAUUAGUAAGUAUACCUCUCAAAUGGUAUAUCCACUGAUAUUGUACUGGUCCUGCAAUUAAUGCUUCAUAUGCAAGGUGUACUGGUAAAUGUUCCAUUGAAUCAAACAGACUUGGAGGAAAUACUCGUUCAAGCUUACAAAGGAUCACAGGAAUUUGUUCAUUUAACCGUUGCAUGUCCCAAUUAAUAAGUGUAGUUUAAGUAAGUUCUCUGAAGAAAUUGCUAAGCUCUGUUAUUGGUUGCCAAACAUUAUUCGAUAACAAUUCUCUGAAAGCUAUAGGAAGAAUUCGUUGUAUGAAAACAUGACAGUCGUGGCUUUUCAUACUAAAAAGUCUAAGCUUCCGACUAUCAACACACCUCCCUAGAUUGAAAACAUAUCCAUUAGGGAAUUUCAGUGUUUUAAGCCAAUCACACAGUAUCAUCUUUGAUUGCUUGUCCAAACAAUAACUUGCUUUUGGAUAUUUUCCGCUAAUUGGAUCUUUCUUCAAUUCUGGUCUCCUGCAUAUUUCAUUUAAAUCUUCCCUUGAUUUUAUAUUGUCUUUCGUCUUCCUCUCCACAUUCAUCACUGUAUUAAAAAUAUUUUCAAAUACAUUCUUUUCAAUAUGCAUUACAUCAAGAUUGUGGCGAAUCAUAUUUGAUUACCAAUAUGGCAAAUCCCAUAAUAUGCUCCGCUUACGCCAACCAGUUGUCUUUGAAAGCCGACCAUUUAUUUCAUGACUGUCAAUGUCUAUUAUCCGCAUCAACCCAAUUUGCUCAAUUUCUUUUAGCAAGUAUUCCCCAGUUCUAAUUGGCGGCGAUGACUUGGAGACUGUUUGGUUUUUAAUAAAAGAUAUCUUGUUUCGACGGAAAGCAUGGUCGUCAGGCAAAAACUUUCGAUGACUGUCAAACCAUGUUUGUUUACCCCCCCUUUUUAAUGUAAAUGCAUCUGUGUUUUCCAUACAGUAGGGACAUGCAGUGCGUCCUGCUGUGCUCCACCCUGAGAGCAUUGAAUAAGCAGGGAAGUCACUAAUAGUCCAAAGUAAAGCAACAUGCAUAGUAAAAUUGUUCUGCUGGAAAGCAUCAUAAGUAUUCACACUAAUUUUUCAAAGUUCUUUCAAUUCCUUCACUAAUGGUUGCAUGUACACAUCAAGCUUCUCUUUUGGAUUCUUGGGACCAGGUAUGAUAAUUGUCAGGAAUAUGUACUCAUCUUUCAUACACAUACCUGGUGGCAAAUUGUAUGGAGUUAAUAUUACUGGCCAUGAAGAAUACUGUUGCCCAAAUUGACCGAAUGGUUGAAAUCUAUCAGUGCAAAGGCCGAGUCUGACAUUUCGGGCCUCCAUUGCAAAGGUUGGAUGAGUUUGAUUGAAAUGCUUCCAAGCAAGAGCAUUUGAACAAUGAUGCAUCACCCCAUCAUCAUUUGCAUGGUCAUUGUGCCAAGUCAUAUACUUAGCUGUAACACACGAUGUAUAAAGUCUUUGCAAACGUGGUGUAAUGGGAAAGUAAUACAUUUUUUUGUAUGGUAUUAGACUCUUCCCUUUCCCCUUGGUGUGCUUGAGGUGUUUGAACCUUUCAUGGUCACAAAAUUUGCAUCUAGUAAGUUCUUUAUUAUUUUCCUAAUAAAUCAUACAAUCAUUAAAACAACAGUGUAUCUUUUGUACAGGAAGCCCCAAUCCUUGGACUAGUCUCUUUGUUGAGUAAAAGCUGCCCGUCAUGACAUUGUCACUCGGUAACAUCUCCUUCAUAAGUUCACAAAUCUGAUCAAAACACCAUUCUGAGAAAUGAUGUUCUGCCUUCAGAUUUAGUAAACGUGAAACGGCCGAUAACUGAGAGUGAGUUUCACAUUCAGGCCAUAGUUCUUACUUAGAUGCAUUUAACAUUUCAUACAGUUUCUGUGCAGCGGAGUUUGGCAUCUCAUAUGUAUCAUUAUGUAUUAUAUGACAACUUAUUGCAUCCAUGACCAUGUCCUCAAACCGAUUGAAAUUUAGGUGAUUAACACUAUCAGAACCAUAAGACAUGUCUAAUAGUGCAUCACCAGAUCCGUCAUGCACUUCAGUUUCACCGUGCAAAUACCAAGCAAGGUAAUUUUGCACAAAACCAUGCUUCAUUAAAUGAUAUUUAACUGUAUUUUCAUCUUGAAAGCUACAGUUCUGACACUUAAAUCGAUUGCAAGGACAGCGAAUCUGAUCGUCAUUUAAAUAAUAUGGGCAGUUCUUAGCCUUCUCUAUAAAUUCAUUGAUCCCCUCUAAAUAUCUGGGAUUAAGUAAACCAUCUCUGAGACGAGCAUACAUCCAACUUCUUUCAGCAGUCAUAUUAACUACAAUAACGAUGCUGAUAUGAAAACAUAAAACUUAUAAAUCCUAUCUUCGAACAGAGCCUGAAAACCAAUAAUUAAAUUAUGCAUUAUAUCUAAAAUAUGCAGUAAUUAUAUCAAUUUUACUUAAGAGAAUAAUUUAUGCAAAAAAAUAGAAUAAUAAUACAAAAACCUGAAAUACAUGAUAAUUUAAUUACUAAUAUCUUCAUAAUCACGUGUUUAAUUAAUUAUUAGGUCCGCCAAUUUAUUAGAUGCGCCAAAUUAUUUUUGAGAAGUGCACCAAAAUGCACCAGCAGGUGCACUGCAAAAUGCACAUGCUGGUGCACUUGGCGAGUGCAACAGCAGGUGCAAAGGAUAAAUUCAAAAAAAUAUAAAACCUGAAUCAGGUAAAAAAUUUCACAAAAAUCAAGCGGGUGCAGAGGAUAAUUUCACAAAAAAUCAAAAAUUUCAAAAAUAUAAAACAUUUCACAACAAUUUCACAAGAAUGGAGUACAUGCAAGAAAAUAGGGUACCUGUGGACAGUGUCCGUCGAUAAUGGCAAGACCGGAGAGAGAGAGGGCCUCACUCGUGGACCGUGAUGCCGAGAAAGGGCGCACCUGUCGACGGUGGAUGGCGGCAGACCGUGGUUAGCGGCAGCGGUGAAAGACCCAGAGGUUGGACGCAAAUUCGGAUUUCAGAGAUAUUUUGAUUUCCUAAUCACACGAUUUAGGGAUCUCAUUUAGUAUACUGUGUAUUUUGGGUUAAAAUUCACUAACGGAUGAUUAGUCCGUUAGUGAAAAAAACAUUAGAUUAAAAAAUAAUAAAAUCACUUACAGAUUACUAACAGAAAUAAUGUCCGUUAGUAUUUCACUAACGGACUUAUGAUGGAUGGGUACGAGCGUAUUCUUCAAUCCGUUAGUGAAGUCCGUUAGUGAUCAAUUGAAAUCUUGUAGUGGGAGAUAUGGGGUGAAGAUGACGUAUCUCAUAUGUUUAAUUACACAUGUCAAGUUAGUGAUAUGACUGAUAUAAAAAAAUAUGUUAAGAUACUUCGUCGUGUUAAUACGAUAAAUGAGGAUGUUGAUAUUGAUCUCUCUGGAACUGCUCUUGAAUCAAAUAUUGAAUAAUGUGAAGAGCAGAAUUCACUGAAUGAUUAUAAUUUAUCUGAUACUCUUGAAGGGCGAUCGAAUAAUUUAUCUGAUAGAGCAGAGGAUGAUGAUUCAUAGAUAUCUACUGAGGAUGAUGAUGAUGAUGGCGAGGAUAAUGAUUCAUAGAUGUCUACUGAGGAUGAUGAUGAUGGCAAGGAGGAUAGUUUGAGUAGAUAUCAAUACUACAAUACUCAAUUUCUAAUCCUAUUGUGCCUAUUGUUCAUCCUCCCCAUACUCAGAAAUAUAUUUCGAUUUACUACAGUGGAUUCCUAUGAUAAACUAGAAUGUUGUUUCUUUUGGGAUCCAUUUAAAGAGUUUUCAAUUGGGAUGCUAUUUUCUUCAAGAUAUGCAAUGGCUCCGGCUGCAAAAAAAUAUCACCUUAGACGUCAUCAUCAAUUUUGCUACCAUGAAACAAGAGAGAGUACAUAUUCUAUAAAGUAUAAAGACAAAUACAAUGGUUGUGCAUUGAGGCUUCGAGCAUCCAAAAAACAAGAAGAGGAUAUAUAAAAAAUUAUGAGAUAUAAUGGACCACACACAUAUACAAAUCCUCAAUUAUUGAAAAACAAUAGCUAAUUGGAUGAAAAUUUCAUCUAUUCAUUCAUCUUUGCAUUGAUUGAAUAACAGCCUAAUAUAAAAAUUGCAGCCCUACAAGCAGAAGUGUGAGAUAAAUUUGGGUACGAGUUGUCUCAUAAAAAAACAUGGAAAGCAAAGUAUAAGGCAAUUGCAAAGCUUUAUGGGAGUUGAGAUGAAUCACAUAGUUAGUUGCGUAAAUUCAUAACAGCUGUUCAUUAUUUCAAUUGUGAAACAAUAUACAUUAUUAGGAACAACCCACAUUGGAUAGAUGAACAAUUAAAUUUGAUGUGUUGUAUAUUUGACCAAAUGUUUUGGACUUUUAAGCAAUCGAUUAAGGGAUUUAAAUAUUGUCAACCUGCAAUUUCAAUCGAUGAGACAUUACUUUAUGGAAAAUACACCUGGCGUAUAUUGUGUGUAACUGCACUCGAUGGAAAUAAUCAACUUUUUUUUAAAACUUUUGUCAUUGUUAAUAAGAAAGAUGAUGACAAUUAGUCAUGGGUUAUGGACUGCAUAAGGUAUUUGUGACCAAUAGAGAAGACUUAUGUGUAAUUUCAGACCAUCAUGCUGGAAUUAUUAAGACGAUACAGAAAGAUUGGUGGCAACCUCCAGCCGGUCAUCAUCCUUACCAUAUAAGACAUGUAUUGAGCAAUUACAAUAAAACAUUCAAAAAUGCUGCAAUAAAGAAAUCAUUGUGUAGGGCAGAUAGAUGUCAUGUCUUUAAAUACAAUUUUUUUUAUCUAUUUAAUGUCACAUUUUGCUGAUAAUAAUUUUACUUUAAUGAACUUAUAAUUUAUAUCAGCAAAUCAAAAUCAGAAGAGAAAGUUUUAUGAAGCCAUGAACAAUAUUCAGGAGGUGCACCCUGAAUCAUAUGAUUGGACAGUUAAAAUAAAUUUAGCGAAAUGGACGAGAUCACACGAUGGUGGACAAAAAUAUAACAUGAUGACAAUAAACAUUUCUAAAUCCCUAAAUGGCAUGAUGAAAGGAUUUUGAGUGUUGUCUAUAACGACAAUAGUUGAAAAAAUAUUCUUUCAAUAUGUCCAUUAUUUUGAUACAUGACGAACAAUAUUUUUUGAUCAGCAAAGCAAGGAUUUAUUUUCACUCAGACUUGCAGUGAAACUCUUCGUGUUAAUGCAAUUAAAACGAAUGGACAUAGAGUGAGAAGGUUUAAAAGUCAAACAAUGGUUUGUAAAAUAAUUAUUAUUCGGGGUAGGCAAAAACAAGUGGUUAAACUUAUGGAUUAAAUAUGCACAUGUGACAAAUUUCAAGAGACGAGAUACCAUGUUCACAUGCUAUUGCUGCAUGUAUGUCCCAUUCAAUUGACUACAAGCAGUUUGUCUCUGAUUAUUAUAAAUUGGAGUAUAUCAUCCAAUGUUAUGCAUACACAUUCUAUCUUUUUAGACAUCCUAACUAUUGGCCUGCAACAUAUGAACUUCUUCUUGUGCCUGACAUUUCUAGAACAAGGAAGAAGAAACGACCAAAAUCUUCUAGGAUUCAUAAUGAGAUGGAUUGAAAGUCGAGCAAAAUAAAAGAAACGUCUAGAGUCCAUUGUUUAAUAUGUGACAGGGUGGGACAUAAUAAAAAAAUCUGUGUAGGUUGAAAAAUAAAUAGAUAAAUGUUAAUAUUUAUACUUACAGUCACUUAUAUUUUUUAUAAUUAUUAUAAACGUAAUGUAUUUUUUAGUGUUCAUUUAUUUUUAUUGGUAUCUUAUAUUUAUGUUUAAUGGUCGAUCGCUCAUGAUUACAUUUACAGAUUAAUAUGGUCGAUCGCGUUGUUAAAAAGAACAAAUCACACAAGUCAUCCAUAUCAAGAAUAUUUAAGAAUAAUUCAAUUAUAAUAGUCAAAAAGUAUAUAGAUCCUAAUGGCAUAACAUGGUAUGAAAAAAAUAAAUACGUCAGAUUACUCAUGUCUUAAUCGUAGUAAUGCACCACAUAUUUUCAUUGGUUUUCCUUUAAAUUCGUUACAAGAUUUUGGAUAAGUAAUUAUAUCGAGCGUUGAACCUCCAUGGGGAGACUAUGGAAAAUACGUUGUGAGUUAGAAGUAUAUUUUAAUAAAUAUAUUAAAAUAUCUCUAAUGGUUUAAAAAAUUUACUAAUUAAUUUUUUAUUAAUUUUAACAAUUAAAUAUUAUAAAAAGUUUAAAACACUCUCGAUACGGAAAGACUAAUUAUUAACUUUUUUAUAAAAUUAAGAAAUUAAUUAAUAUUUUUUUUUUCAAAUUACAGAAAUUAGAUGAUAAAAUAUUUAAAAAUAAUUAAUUAGUAGAUUUUUUAAAAUGCUAUGAUGGUUUAAUGGAUUUUUUAAAAUUGAGAAGUAAUAGAAUUAAAUAAUAAAUUUUUAUGUAUUUUGCUAUUAUUAAGUAUACAUUUGAUAUGAUAACAAAAAUUAGAGUAGUUGUUAAUGGUAUAUAUUUUUAUGGAGUAAUAAUUAAAUUUAAAAAAAAAAGGUUUAAUAUUAAAAAUGAAUAUAACUGUUAAUCUAUUAAUUUUUUAUGUUUUAUAUAAAAAAAUUAAAAAUAAUUAAAAAUAAUUCAUUUAACUUAAUAAAAUAUCAUUUAGAUGUUAUAUUAUAGAUAAGUAAUGCAAUGAAUAUAUAUUUAUUAUGAAUCAUAUAUUAAUUUAGAGAAAAUUUUAAUAUAAAAUCAAUCAUAAAUAGAUAAAUCCGUAACAAACCGUAUUCUAAGUAGACACCUAUCAUGAUGUUCUUACAAGUGGACAAAUGGUGCGAGAGUAGAGUGCAUGUUAACGGGAAAGUAGCAAUCAAAAGAAAGCACUAGAAUUUAAGUUAUGGAACCCACAAUACGCGUCGUUUUAAAUACAAAUUUUGAAUUUUACAAAAUGGCAAAUAAUGAAAAUGUUGAAUUAAGCGUCAAAGGCCAAACCGAGACUACGUAUUAGAUAAAGUCAAACAAAGUGUGGCGACUGUUGGACAAUUCAACAUUCCUCGCUAUAUAAACGCCUAAUUCUCUACUCAUUCUUCAUCUUCAUCACCAUUUCUAUUCUCUGCCUCUUCACUUCACUCAGCUUCUCUCUCGCUGAUCAGUUUUGUUUUCUCCAGUUUUCCAUCCAUAAUUAAUAAUGGGUUUGAAGGGUUUUGUUGAAGGUGGUAUUGCCUCCAUUGUCGCCGGUGCCUCCACCCACCCUCUUGACCUCAUCAAGGUUCGCAUGCAACUUCAAGGUGAAUCCCACCUCCCCAAUCCAGCUUCCCUUCAAGCCCUCCGUCCUGCCAUCGCCUUCAACACGGUUGCUGCUGGUGCCGGUAAUAUUUCACUACCUGUAGAAAUUGCUCCUCCGCCAGCUCGCGUUGGACCCAUUUCUAUCGGUGUUCGUAUCAUUCAAUCUGAAGGUGCUGCAGCCCUUUUCUCUGGUGUAUCUGCCACUAUACUUCGCCAGACCUUGUACUCAACCACCCGUAUGG
rnacentral:lncRNA from 1 species